UACGAGUGCCCCGAGCGUUAUCCGGAAUCAUUGGGCGUAAAGGGUGUGUAGGUGGCUUUGUUAGUCUUCCGUUAAAUUCUUCGGCUUAACCGGGGGCAUGCGGGGGAAACGGCAAAGCUUGAGGAUGCGAGAGGUAUAUGGAACUCAUGGUGUAGGGGUGAAAUCCGUUGAUAUCAUGGGGAACACCGAAAGCGAAGGCAGUAUACUGGCGCAUUCCUGACACUGAGACACUAAAGCGUGGGUAGCGAAUGGG
rnacentral:rRNA from 1 species